rnacentral:rRNA from 1 species
GGACGGGUGAGUAAUGCCUAGGAAAUUGCCCUGAUGUGGGGGAUAACCAUUGGAAACGAUGGCUAAUACCGCAUGAUGCCUACGGGCCAAAGAGGGGGACCUUCGGGCCUCUCGCGUCAGGAUAUGCCUAGGUGGGAUUAGCUAGUUGGUGAGGUAAGGGCUCACCAAGGCGACGAUCCCUAGCUGGUCUGAGAGGAUGAUCAGCCACACUGGAACUGAGACACGGUCCAGACUCCUACGGGAGGCAGCAGUGGGGAAUAUUGCACAAUGGGCGCAAGCCUGAUGCAGCCAUGCCGCGUGUGUGAAGAAGGCCUUCGGGUUGUAAAGCACUUUCAGUCGUGAGGAAGGUAGUGUAGUUAAUAGCUGCAUUAUUUGACGUUAGCGACAGAAGAAGCACCGGCUAACUCCGUGCCAGCAGCCGCGGUAAUACGGAGGGUGCGAGCGUUAAUCGGAAUUACUGGGCGUAAAGCGCAUGCAGGUGGUUUGUUAAGUCAGAUGUGAAAGCCCGGGGCUCAACCUCGGAAUUGCAUUUGAAACUGGCAGACUAGAGUACUGUAGAGGGGGGUAGAAUUUCAGGUGUAGCGGUGAAAUGCGUAGAGAUCUGAAGGAAUACCGGUGGCGAAGGCGGCCCCCUGGACAGAUACUGACACUCAGAUGCGAAAGCGUGGGGAGCAAACAGGAUUAGAUACCCUGGUAGUCCACGCCGUAAACGAUGUCUACUUGGAGGUUGUGGCCUUGAGCCGUGGCUUUCGGAGCUAACGCGUUAAGUAGACCGCCUGGGGAGUACGGUCGCAAGAUUAAAACUCAAAUGAAUUGACGGGGGCCCGCACAAGCGGUGGAGCAUGUGGUUUAAUUCGAUGCAACGCGAAGAACCUUACCUACUCUUGACAUCCAGAGAACUUUCCAGAGAUGGAUUGGUGCCUUCGGGAACUCUGAGACAGGUGCUGCAUGGCUGUCGUCAGCUCGUGUUGUGAAAUGUUGGGUUAAGUCCCGCAACGAGCGCAACCCUUAUCCUUGUUUGCCAGCACUUCGGGUGGGAACUCCAGGGAGACUGCCGGUGAUAAACCGGAGGAAGGUGG